AGAGAGGUGGCCGAGUGGUCGAAGGCGCACGCCUGGAAAGUGUGUAUACCCCAAAAGGGUGUCGAGGGUUCGAAUCCCUUCCUCUCUG
rnacentral:tRNA from 1 species